GAUGAACGCUGGCGGCGUGCUUAACACAUGCAAGUCGAACGGGAAUUAUUUUAUUGAAACUUCGGUCGAUUUAAUUUAAUUCUAGUGGCGGACGGGUGAGUAACGCGUGGGUAACCUGCCUUAUACAGGGGGAUAACAGUCAGAAAUGGCUGCUAAUACCGCAUAAGCGCACAGAGCUGCAUGGCUCAGUGUGAAAAACUCCGGUGGUAUAAGAUGGACCCGCGUUGGAUUAGCUGGUUGGUGGGGUAACGGCCCACCAAGGCGACGAUCCAUAGCCGGCAUGAGAGGGUGAACGGGCACAUUGGGACUGAGGCACGGCCCAGACUCCUACGGGAAGCAGCAGUGGGGAAUAUUGCACAAUGGGGGAAACCCUGAUGCAGCGACGCCGCGUGAAGGAAGAAGUAUCUCGGUAUGUAAACUUCUAUCAGCAGGGAAGAUAGUGACGGUACCUGACUAAGAAGCCCCGGCUAACUACGUG
rnacentral:rRNA from 1 species